rnacentral:rRNA from 1 species
CUGCAGCUCAAGUGGUGGCCGCUAUUAUUGGGCCUAAAACGUCCGUAGCCUGUUUAGUAAAUGCUUGGGUAAAUUGUGUAGCUUAACUAUACGAAUACCGGGUAGACUGCUAAACUUGGGACCGGGAGAGGCUAGAGGUACUCCUGGGGUAGAGGUGAAAUUCUGUAAUCCUAGGGGGACCACCAGUGGCGAAGGCGUCUAGCUAGAACGGGUCUGACGGUGAGGGACGAAGCCCUGGGGCGCGAACCGGAUUAGAUACCCGAGUAGUCC